GUCACUUGAUUUCUUUUCUCAGCACGGGUCUUGCCUUCCUGCCUGAGCAGCAUUUCCCUGUGUGACAGUGAGCUGUCUCCAAGCGUGUGAUCCAGUCCCAGGGAGCCCAGGGAGGCUGAGCACGGGCAUGUGAGCAGACUAAGCUACCAUUAGAGGAAGUGAUCUGCAGAACAAAAGCUGCCUGCUGAGGAGAAGACAAGACUGCCCUAGGACUUGUUUCCAAAGUCCUCUGCUGCUACAAAAGGCACUUCUCCUUCUAGACUUGACUGGCAGAGUGGUUCUGGAGCUUGGCUGCAUCCUCUUCCACAGAGAAGGUUAUAAAAAGAAAGCCCAAACUUCAAACCA